UACGUAGGCAGCGAGCGUUGUUCGGAAUUACUGGGCGUAAAGAGUGUGUAGGCGGUGCUCCCAGUCUGUUGUGAAAUCUCCCGGUUUAACUGGGAGGGUGCAGCGGAAACUAGAGUGCUAGAGGGUGGGAGAGGUAAGCGGAAUUCCUGGUGUAGCGGUGAAAUGCGUAGAUAUCAGGAGGAACACCUGUGGUGUAGACAGCUUACUGGACCACUUCUGACGCUGAGACACGAAAGCGUGGGUAGCAAACAGG
rnacentral:rRNA from 1 species